UACGUAGGGUGCAAGCGUUGUCUGGAAUUAUUGGGCGUAAAGAGCUCGUAGGCGGCUUGUCGCGUCGGCCGUGAAAACCUGGGGCUCAACCCCGGGCCUGCAGCCGAUACGGGCAAGCUAGAAUUCGGUAGGGGAGACUGGAAUUCCUGGUGUAGCGGUGAAAUGCGCAGAUAUCAGGAGGAACACCGGUGGCGAAGGCGGGUCUCUGGGCCGAAAUUGACGCUGAGGAGCGAAAGCGUGGGGAGCAAACAGG
rnacentral:rRNA from 1 species